rnacentral:lncRNA from 1 species
CCCACCUUAAGCUCCUACUUUGAUAGAAUCAGAACCUAUUUUGUAUCUCCUAUCACAGGGUGAGGCUGAAACCAACAUCGAGUCUAAAUAACAACAAAAGAACUACAAUAGAGAGAGCAAAGGUAACCAACUAUCAAACCCGAACUGCCGUCCAGUAAGCUUGAUUAAGAACCACACAACGAUCGGGCAUCUGGAAAUGGAAGAGAAUAACGAUAAGCACCGGAAGGUCUAGAUGGAAGAUAAAUUGUAUUAGAAGAAAUACUAUACUAACUCCCUCUGCCACCCUCGAAAAACAUAUCAUGACCAUCAAAGGAUUGAUUGUGUGCAAUAACUGACUAAGAUUAGCCCUACCUUAAGCCCUACUUUGAUAAAAUUAAAACUUAAUUUUUAUCUCAUGUCAUAGGGUGGGGCAGAAAACAAUAUCACGUCUAUGUACAAACAAAAAUUGUUGAAAUGACAAAAGAUAACCAAACAUCAAACCAGAAGUGUCAUCCAGUUAAGAACCACCCCACGAUCAGACAUCUGGAAAUUGAAGAGUAUAUCUAUAAGCACGGGAAACUCUAGGUAGAAGAGAAAAUGUAUAGAAAUAAAAAUACUAUUAUGUACUCCCUUUGCCACCCUCGAUUAACACAAUAUCAAUGACUCAUCAAAGAUCUGUCCGCGUCCAAAAACCAGACCAAGAUAGCCCCCACAUUAAGCUCCUACAGUGAUGGAAUCAAAACCUAUUUUGUAUCUCCUGUCACAGGGUAGGCCCAAAACAAUAUCCAAGUCUAUAUAACAACAAAAGAAUAUAAUAGAGAGAUCAAAUGCAACCAAUUAUGAACCCAGAACUGCCUUCCAGUUAAGCUUGAUUAAGAACCAAACAACGAUCAGGCAUCUGGAAAUCGAAGAGAAUAACAAUAAGCACGGGAAAGUCAAGAUGGAAGAUAAAUUGUAGCAGAAUUAAUACAAUACUAUACUCCCUCUGACACCCUCGAUAAACAUUAUAUCAGUGACAGCAUCAAAAGUUGAUGUCUCCAGUAACUAGACCAAGAUUAGCCCCACCAUAAGCUGCUUCUUUCACAACUUAAUUUUUAACUCCUGUCACAAGGUGAGGCAGAAAACAAUAUCCACGUCUACGUAACAAAUAAAAGAUUGUUGAAACUGACAAAAGAUAACCAAGCAUACCAGAAGUGCCUUCCAGUUAAGAACCACACAACAAUCAGACAUCUGGAAAUUGAAGAGUAUAACUAUUAGCACGGGAAACUCUAGGUAGAAGAGAAAAUGUAGGUAGAAAAAAAAUACUAUUAGUACUCCCUUUACCACCCACUAUUAACACUAUAUCAAUGACAGCAUGAAGGAUUUGUCAGUGUCCAAAAACCAGACCAAGACAGCCCCCACCUUAAGCUCCUACUUGAUAGAAUCAGAACCUAUUUUGUAUCUCCUAUCACAGGGUGAGGCUGAAACCAACAUCCGAGUCUAAAUAACAACAAAAGAACUACAAUAGAGAGAGCAAAGGUAACCAACUAUCAAACCCGAACUGCCGUCCAGUUAAGCUUGAUUAAGAACCACACAACGAUCGGGCAUCUGGAAAUGAAGAGAAUAACGAUAAGCACCGGAAGGUCUAGAUGGAAGAUAAAUUGUAUAGAAGAAAUACUAUACUAUACUCCCUCUGCCACCCUCGAUAAACACACUAUAUAGUGACCACGUCAAAGGAUUGACUUGUGUGCAAUAACUUGACUAAGAUUAGCCCUACCUUAAGCUCCUACUUGAUAAAAUUAAAACUUAAUUUUUAUCUCAUGUCAUAGGGUGGGGCAGAAAACAAUAUCCACGUCUAUGUAGCAAACAAAAUUGUUGAACUGACAAAAGAUAACCAAACAUCAAACAGAAGUGUCUCCAGUUAAGAACCACCCCACGAUCAGACAUCUGGAAAUUGAAGAGUAUAUCUAUAAGCACGGGAAACUCGAGGUAGAAGAGAAAAUGUAGUAGAAUAAAAAUACUAUUAUGUACUCCCUUUGCCACCCUCGAUUAACACAAUAUCAAUGACUACAUCAAAGAUCUGUCGCGUCCAAAAACCAGACCAAGAUAGCCCCCACAUUAAGCUCCUACAGUGAUGGAAUCAAAACCUAUUUUGUAUCUCCUGUCACAGGGUAGGCUCAAAACAAUAUCCAAGUCUAUAUAACAACAAAAGAAAUAUAAUAGAGAGAUCAAAUGCAACCAAUUAUGAACCCAGAACUGCCUUCCAGUUAAGCUUGAUUAAGAACCAAACAACGAUCAGGCAUCUGGAAAUCGAAGAGAAUAACAAUAAGCACGGGAAAGUCAAGAUGGAAGAUAAAUUGUAGCAGAAUUAAUACAAUACUAUACUCCCUCUGACACCCUCGAUAAACAUUAUAUCAGUGACAGCAUCAAAAGUUGAUAGUCUCCAUAACUAGACCAAGAUUAGCCCCACCAUAAGUGCUUCUUUCACAACUUAAUUUUUAACCCCUGUCACAAGGUGAGGCAGAAAACAAUAUCCACGUCUACGUAACAAAUAAAAGAUUGUUGAAACUGACAAAAGAUAACCAAGCAUACCAGAAGUGCCUUCCAGUUAAGAACCACACAACAUCAGACAUCUGGAAAUUGAAGAGUAUAUCUAUAGCACGGGAAAUUCUAGGUAGAAGAGAAAAUGUAGUAGAAAAAAAAUACUAUUAUGUACUCCCUUUCCACCCCGAUUAAACAUAUCAAUGACCAUAAGAUUGUCGGUCCAAAAACCAGACCAAGACAGCCCCCACCUUAAGCUCCUACUUUGAUAGAAUCAGAACCUAUUUUGUAUCUCCUAUCACAGGGUGAGGCUGAAACCAACAUCGAGUCUAAAUAACAACAAAAGAACUACAAUAGAGAAAGCAAAGGUAACCAACUAUCAAACCCGAACUGCCGUCCAGUUAAGCUUGAUUAAGAACCACACAACGAUCGGGCAUCUGGAAAUGGAAGAGAAUAACGAUAAGCACCGGAAGGUCUAGAUGGAAGAUAAAUUGUAUUAGAAGAAAUACUAUCUAUACUCCCUCUGCCACCCUCGAUAAACACACUAUAUCAGUGACCACGUCAAAGGAUUGACUUGUGUGCAAUAACUUGACUAAGAUUAGCCCUACUUAAGCUCCUACUUUGAUAAAAUUAAAACUUAAUUUUUAUCUCAUGUCAUAGGGUGGGGCAGAAAACAAUAUCCACGUCUAUGUACAAACAAAAUUGUUGAAAUGACAAAAGAUAACCAAACAUCAAACCAGAAG